rnacentral:rRNA from 1 species
GGGGGGAGCAAGCGUUGUUCGGAAUCACUGGGCGUAAAGGGCGUCUAGGCGGUUCGGUAAGUGGGAUGUGAAAUGCCCGGGCUCACCCCGGGACCUGCAUCCCAAACUGCUGAGCUUGAGUACAGGAGAGGGUGGGGGAAUUCCAGGUGUAGCGGUGAAAUGCGUAGAUAUCUGGAGGAACACCGGUGGCGAAGGCGCCCACCUGGCCUGUUACUGACGCUGAAGCGCGAAAGCUAGGGGAGCAAACGGGACUAGAUACCCCGGUAGUCCUAGCCGUAAACGGUGAUCACUAGGUGUUGGGAGCAUCGACCCUUCCAGUGCCGCAGCUAACGCAUUAAGUGAUCCGCCUGGGGAGUACGGCCGCAAGGUUG